rfam:Camelus ferus unplaced genomic scaffold scaffold1212, whole genome shotgun sequence.
GAGGAUAUAGGUCAGUGGUAGAGCGCAUGCUUAGCAUGCACGAGGUCCUGGGUUCAACCCCCAGCACCUCCA